AUUAAGCUAAAUGAUCAUUUUGGAUCCAUGUUUAUGUCUUAUAAAUCCUAGCUACGAAUGAAUAAAUGUGAGGUGAACAGAACAUGAGCAGGAAGACAAGCGAAGGCUCUUCUGCUGCUCAGGUAGUCACUGUCCAACCCAGGGGCAGCGAAAGGCUUUCCGCAGUGAGCCUCCCAGCGAGAAGCUGCGAUGCCUUCUGAAGCUGUUACCAGUCCAUCACACCUUCGUGAACGUGAAGGAUCUAAAAUGUGGGUUUUGACACGGAGGCUGGAGAGAAAGGAAAAUGGGACCUGCGUGCGUGAUGUGGAAGAUCGUCAGAGACUCAGACAGAAAGUGCUGGAAAGAGAACGCAGAGGGGAGGAGCGGGCAUCCUGACAAACUUUGCCCCGGGGCAGUUUCGUCGAGUUCUAGCAAGGCAUCCUGACACCAGCCAGGCUGUCCAGUUCUGAACAAAAACGUUUCGUCCGCUCAGUGGGAUGACGGCAUCAGCCCGGAUGAUUUAAAGGACGGCAGCAGGCAGCCGAGUGUGUAGUCGCUUGCGUCCCUAACACGUGGGGGAGCUUGGCUAAUCUUAACCUUAGCAGGUUUCAGAACCUCGCCAGCAGCUGCCUGCUACAGAGGAUUAGGAUAAGAUGGAGACUGAAGCACUCUAUGAUUGAAAUCUGGAAAAUGAUAUUUUCACAGAAGAAGAGGCUGCCCAGAUUUCCAGCUCCUGAAUCAGCAAGGAUCCAAAAAGAAUGAUCAGAUCCCCACAGUGGACCUGCAAUUGCUCUAGUGAUGUGGGGGAACCAGAAACAGCUGAUCACCCCACACACCAUUAGUGCUUCUCUAAGCAAUACCUCCUCCCAUCUGCCUUUGUCAUUAGGUAUCUUACACGGUACUUUUUAAUGGCUGCAUUGCAAUUCGCUAUAUAAAGGUAUAAGUCAUUUGGUCAGUCUCCCGUGUUUUCUGGUUUUUGCUCUUAUCAGCAAUAAUGCACUAAAAAUCCUUGGGACUAAAUCUCUGGACACAUCUUUAAUUAUUUGCUAACACCAGCACACUUUAAAACUACAGUAUUUUGAAGGCAAAUUGGAGAGCACAUAGGGACAUAUAAUGAGUGAAUGAAUGAAUGAGUAUGAGCACUGAUGCUUCAUAUUUUUUUUUCCCUUCCAUGAAUCUGCCCACCACCUUGAACAGGACCCAGUGGCUUUCCUGAGGAUGAGCUGAAUGGAGUGAUAGCGACAAUGGUGUCAGGGUACAUCUGUGCGGUCUACCUCCUGCUUUGGCUCCUUAUGGUGAAAUUAGUAAUUAUUAUUAUUACUUACCAAGCAUGUAUUUUAUGGCAAACUCUGUGUUAAGCAUUUCAUAGUGGAUGUUCCCACUUAAUUUUUGUAACCUUAUGAUCUGGAUGGCUAUUAUUGUGCCCAUUCUUUUGGUGGGGGUUCCAAGGCUUAGAAAAGCUAAGAAUAUUGCCCAAGGCCAUUUAGUAAAUGGUAGUGUAGUAAUUGGAAUCCAGCUCUCUGACUCUACACUCCUAGUUCAUUAUGGCACUAAUUCUCAACCCGUGUGCUUUGGCAUUCCAGUGUUCUGCAAACUUGUCUUAUGUUAGCAUGUUGCUAAAUUUUACAAAUAAAAUUAUGUCAUGGGGCACCUGGGUGGCCCAAUGGGUUAAGCCUCUGCCUUCAGCUCAGGUCAUGAGGCCAGGGUCCUGGGAUCAAGCCCCGCAUUGGGCUCUCUGCUUAGCAGGGAGCCUGCUUCUUCCUCUCUCUCUGCCUCUCUGCCUACUUGUGAU